GUUUGACUAAACCUGGUCACAAGUAACGCCAUAUUGUCCACAACAUUUGGUCAUAGCAGACAUUUAGUACCUGGUAAUGUGCAUUUCUUUACCUCUUAAUUGUACAUGUACUAGAAGUUGUUUGUUUGCCCAGAGAUGUACUCGUGUUUUUUGUAUAUUGAAUUUGUUUAGUUGAACUGUAGGGAGAAAGAGUUUAUAGAAAUAAGGAAAAUGAACAAUAAGUAUGGUAAUUAUAGGGUAUACAUUACAAAGUGCUAUGUUUACAAAUUAAAGUGGUAAUCAUGCAGUUGAUUUAAGAUGCAUUUCCAUGAUUUGUUUCAUAAAUGAAUUACUGAAAACUUAAAUUAUGAUGAUAAUCAACAAUAUAAAAGAUUUAUGUAUGAAAAUCACAGCAAAGUCAAGUCUAAUUUGUACCAUUAUAUAUUGUAAUAUCUUGUUACAGUGAAGGGUACUAGCAAGUUGUUUACAUUGUGAAUGCCAUUUUGUACCAUGUUAUCUUAAAUAUAUUAAUAAACAUGAUAGAAGUU
rnacentral:misc_RNA from 1 species